rnacentral:rRNA from 1 species
GAUGAACGCUAGCGAUAGGCCUAACACAUGCAAGUCGAGGGGCAUCACAUGAAGUAGCAAUACGGAUGGUGGCGACCGGCGCACGGGUGAGUAACACGUAUGCAACCUGCCUUCAACAAGGGGAUAACCCGUUGAAAGACGGACUAAUACCCUAUAACACAGGGGUCCCGCAUGGGGAAUAUUUGUUAAAGGACAACCGGUUGAAGAUGGGCAUGCGUUCCAUUAGCUAGUUGGCGGAGUAACGGCCCACCAAGGCAACGAUGGAUAGGGGGAACUGAGAGGUUUAUCCCCCACACUGGUACUGAGACACGGACCAGACUCCUACGGGAGGCAGCAGUGAGGAAUAUUGGUCAAUGGACGCAAGUCUGAACCAGCCACGUCGCGUGAAGGAAGACGGCCCUACGGGUUGUAAACUUCUUUUAUACGGGAAUAAAGUGCCCCACGCGUGGGGUUUUGCAUGUACCGUAUGAAUAAGGAUCGGCUAACUCCGUGCCAGCAGCC